UAGGCCGCGCUGAUUUGGCCGAUCGCGUUGCGGAAUGGCGUCGGCGCUCCGCCGCCGGCCCAGCCGAGCACGAUGACGUCGAUCACGAGCAGCCAGAAGAAGCGCUUGAACACCGGCCGGUAGCGACCCGAGCGCACCGGCGACUUGUCGAUCCACGGCAUGAAGAACGCAG
rnacentral:misc_RNA from 1 species